rnacentral:rRNA from 1 species
UCGGGGAGCUGUCAACCGAGCGUGGAUCCGAGGAUGUCCGAAUGGGGAAACCCGGCACGAGUGAUGUCGUGUCACCCAACGCUGAAUACAUAGGCGUUGGGGGGGAACGCGGGGAAGUGAAACAUCUCAGUACCCGUAGGAAGAGAAAACAAUUGUGAUUCCGUGAGUAGUGGCGAGCGAAAGCGGAGGAUGGCUAAACCGUAUGCAUGUGAUACCGGGUAGGGGUUGUGUGUGCGGGGUUGUGGGACCCAUCUUCUCAGUUCUAUCCGACUGGGGGGCAGUGAGAAAAUGUUGUGGUUAGCGGAAGUGGCUUGGGAUGGCCUGCCGUAGACGGUGAGAGCCCGGUACGUGAAAACCCGACGUCUGUCUUGAUGGUGUUCCCGAGUAGCAGCGGGCCCGUGAAAUCUGCUGUGAAUCUGCCGGGACCACCCGGUAAGCCUGAAUACUUCCCAGUGACCGAUAGCGGAUGAGUACCGUGAGGGAAUGGUGAAAAGUACCCCGGGAGGGGAGUGAAAUAGUACCUGAAACCGUGCGCUUACAAUCCGUCAGAGCCCUCCACUUUGUGGUGGGGUGAUGGCGUGCCUUUUGAAGAAUGAGCCUGCGAGUCAGGGACAUGUCGCGAGGUUAACCCGGGUGGGGUAGCCGCAGCGAAAGCGAGUCUGAAUAGGGCGUAUCCGCACAGGAGUGUGUGGUGUAGUGGUGUGUUCUGGACCCGAAGCGGAGUGAUCUACCCAUGGCCAGGGUGAAGCGCGGGUAAGACCGUGUGGAGGCCCGAACCCACUUAGGUUGAAGACUGAGGGGAUGAGUUGUGGGUAGGGGUGAAAGGCCAAUCAAACUCCGUGAUAGCUGGUUCUCCCCGAAAUGCAUUUAGGUGCAGCGUCACAUGUUUCUUGUUGGAGGUAGAGCUACUGGAUGGCCGAUGGGCCCUACUAGGUUACUGACGUCAGCCAAACUCCGAAUGCCGACAAGUCUAAGAGUGUGGCAGUGAGACGGCGGGGGAUAAGCUCCGUGCGUCGAGAGGGAAACAGCCCAGAUCGCCGGCUAAGGCCCCUAAGCGUGUGCUAAGUGGAAAAGGAUGUGCAGUCGCGAAGACAACCAGGAGGUUGGCUUAGAAGCAGCCACCCUUGAAAGAGUGCGUAAUAGCUCACUGGUCAAGUGAUUGUGCGCCGAUAAUGUAGCGGGGCUCAAGCACACCGCCGAAGCCGCGGCAACGAUCUUCGUGAUCGUUGGGUAGGGGAGCGUCCUGCAUCCGGUGAAGCCGCCGAGUGAUCGAGUGGUGGAGGGUGUGGGAGUGAGAAUGCAGGCAUGAGUAGCGAAUAGGCAAGUGAGAACCUUGCCCGCCGAAAGACCAAGGGUUCCUGGGCCAGGCCAGUCCGCCCAGGGUGAGUCGGGACCUAAGGCGAGGCCGACAGGCGUAGUCGAUGGACAACGGGUUGAUAUUCCCGUACCCGUGUGUGUGCGUCCCUGAUGAAUCAAGGGUACUAACCACCCAAAACCGUUGUUACUGAUCGCCUUCGGGUGUGAGGAGUGACGGGGCUGCGUGGGACCUUCUUUGGUAGUAGUCAAGCGAUGGGGUGACGCAGGAAGGUAGCCGUACCGGUCAGUGGUAAUACCGGGGUAAGCCUGUAGGACGAGAUAUAGGUAAAUCCGUGUCUCAUGACGUCUGAGAGGUGAUGCAUAGCCGAGUGAGGCGAAUUCGGUGAUCCUAUGCUGCCAAGAAAAGCCUCUAGCGAGGACA